UACGUAGGGGGCAAGCGUUGUCCGGAAUCAUUGGGCGUAAAGCGCGUGUAGGCGGCUGGGUAAGUCCGCUCUGAAAGCCCGGGGCUCAACCCCGGGAGGCGGGUGGAUACUGCUCAGCUCGAGUCCGGAAGAGGAGUGUGGAAUUCCUGGUGUAGCGGUGAAAUGCGCAGAUAUCAGGAGGAACACCGGUGGCGAAGGCGGUUCUCUGGGCCUUACCUGACGCUGAGGAGCGAAAGCGUGGGGAGCGAACAGG
rnacentral:rRNA from 1 species